rnacentral:rRNA from 1 species
GAGUUUGAUCCUGGCUCAGGAUGAACGCUGGCGGUAUGCCUAACACAUGCAAGUCGAACGGAACUCUUCGGAGUUCAGUGGCGGACGGGUGAGUAACGCGUGAGAAUCUGCCUAGAGGAUGGGGACAACCACGGGAAACUGUGGCUAAUACCCAAUGAGCGGAGACGUUAAAGAUUUAUCGCCUCUAGAGGAGCUCGCGUCUGAUUAGCUAGUUGGUGGGGUAAAAGCCUACCAAGGCGACGAUCAGUAGCUGGUCUGAGAGGACAACCAGCCACACUGGGACUGAGACACGGCCCAGACUCCUACGGGGGGCAGCAGUGGGGAAUUUUCCGCAAUGGGCGAAAGCCUGACGGAGCAAUACCGCGUGAGGGAGGAAGGCUCUUGGGUCGUAAACCUCUUUUCUCAGGGAAGAAGAAAGUGACGGUACCUGAGGAAUCAGCCUCGGCUAACUCCGUGCCAGCAGCCGCGGUAAUACGGAGGAGGCAAGCGUUAUCCGGAAUUAUUGGGCGUAAAGCGUCCGUAGGUGGCUCUUCAAGUCUGCUGUCAAAGAGUGGGGCUUAACCUUGCAAAGGCAGUGGAAACUGAAAGGCUAGAGAGCCGUAGGGGUAGAGGGAAUUCCCGGUGUAGCGGUGAAAUGCGUAGAGAUCGGGAAGAACAUCGGUGGCGAAAGCGCUCUACUGGACGGUAUCUGACACUGAGGGACGAAAGCUAGGGGAGCGAAUGGGAUUAGAUACCCCAGUAGUCCUAGCCGUAAACGAUGGAUACUAGGCGUGGCUUGUAUCGACCCGAGCCGUGCCGGAGCUAACGCGUUAAGUAUCCCGCCUGGGGAGUACGCACGCAAGUGUGAAACUCAAAGGAAUUGACGGGGGCCCGCACAAGCGGUGGAGUAUGUGGUUUAAUUCGAUGCAACGCGAAGAACCUUACCAGGGCUUGACAUGUCCGGAAUCCCUUGGAAACGAGGGAGUGCCUUCGGGAACCGGAACACAGGUGGUGCAUGGCUGUCGUCAGCUCGUGUCGUGAGAUGUUGGGUUAAGUCCCGCAACGAGCGCAACCCUCGUCUUUAGUUGCCAGCAUUAAGUUGGGCACUCUAGAGAGACUGCCGGUGACAAACCGGAGGAAGGUGGGGAUGACGUCAAGUCAGCAUGCCCCUUACGUCCUGGGCUACACGCGUACUACAAUGCUGCGGACAAAGGGCAGCAAGCCAGCGAUGGCAAGCCAAUCCCAUAAACCGUGGCUCAGUUCAGAUCGCAGGCUGCAACUCGCCUGCGUGAAGGAGGAAUCGCUAGUAAUCGCCGGUCAGCAUACGGCGGUGAAUCCGUUCCCGGGCCUUGUACACGCCGCCCGUCACACCAUGGGAGCCGGUUUGGCCCGAAGUCGUUACCCUAACCUGAAAAGGAGGGGGAUGCCGAAGGCCGGGCUGGUGACUGGGGUGAAGUCGUAACAAGGUAACCG